CUCCUUGUGGUGUAGUUGGCUAUCACGUUCGGCUGUAAUUGCGAAAUCAUAUACCGAAAGGUCACCGGCUCGAUUCCGGUCGAGGAGA
rnacentral:tRNA from 2 species